AACCAUAGGACCGCCUUGGCGACGCGGUUGCUGUGCGUGCCCGCGA
rnacentral:sRNA from 1 species